rnacentral:rRNA from 1 species
AGCUCCAAUAGCGUAUAUUUAAGUUGUUGCAGUUAAAAAGCUCGUAGUUGGAUUUUGGGUCGGGGUGACCGGUCCGCCGUUCCGGUGUGUACUGUUUGCUCCUUCCUUCUUGCCGGGGACGCGCUCCUGGGUUUCAUUAUCUGGGACGUGGAGUCGGCGAUGUUACUUUGAAAAAAUUAGAGUGUUCAAAGCAAGCCAUCGCUCUGAAUACAUUAGCAUGGAAUAACACCAUAGGACUCUGGUCCUAUUUUGUUGGUUUUCGGGAUUGGAGUAAUGAUUAAUAGGGACAGUCGGGGGCAUCCGUAUUUCAUUGUCAGAGGUGAAAUUCUUGGAUUUAUGAAAGACGAACUUCUGCGAAAGCAUUUGCCAAGGAUGUUUUCAUUGAUCAAGAACGAAAGUA